rnacentral:rRNA from 1 species
GAUGAACGCUGGCGGCGUGCCUAAUACAUGCAAGUCGAACGCAUUGUGGUUGAAAUGAUAUGAAGAACUUGUUCAGAUUUGAUUUUCAACAUUGCAAUGAGUGGCGAACGGGUGAGUAACACGUGGGAAACCUACCUCUUAGCAGGGGAUAACAUUUGGAAACAAAUGCUAAUACCGUAUAAUAAUUAAAACCGCAUGGUUUUAGUUUAAAAGAUGGUCUUGCUAUCACUAAGAGAUGGUCCCGCGGUGUAUUAGUUAGUUGGUGAGGUAAUGGCUCACCAAGACAAUGAUACAUAGCCGAGUUGAGAGACUGACCGGCCACAAUGGGACUGAGACA